UACGGGAGGCAGCAGUGGGGAAUAUUGCACAAUGGGCGCAAGCCUGAUGCAGCCAUGCCGCGUGUAUGAAGAAGGCCUUCGGGUUGUAAAGUACUUUCAGUCGUGAGGAAGGUGUUAAGGUUAAUAACCUUAGCAAUUGACGUUAGCGACAGAAGAAGCACCGGCUAACUCCGUGCCAGCAGCCGCGGUAAUACGGAGGGUGCGAGCGUUAAUCGGAAUUACUGGGCGUAAAGGGCACGCAGGUGGUUAAUUAAGUUGGAUGUGAAAUCCCCGGGCUUAACCUGGGAAUGGCAUUCAAGACUGGUUAGCUAGAGUCUUGUAGAGGGGGUAGAAUUCCAUGUGUAGCGGUGAAAUGCGUAGAGAUGUGGAGGAAUACCGGUGGCGAAGGCGGCCCCUGGACAAAGACUGACGCUCAUGUGCGAAAGCGUGGGGAGCAAACAGGGAUUAGAUACC
rnacentral:rRNA from 1 species